CCUACGGGUGGCUGCAGUAGGGAAUAUUGCUCAAUGGGGGAAACCCUGAAGCAGCAACGCCGCGUGGAGGAUGACGGCUUUAGGAUUGUUAACUCCUUUUGUGAGAGAAGUUAAUGACGGUAUCUCACGAAUAAGCACCGGCUAACUCCGUGCCAGCAGCCGCGGUAAUACGGAGGGUGCAAGCGUUACUCGGAAUCACUGGGCGUAAAGGGUGCGCAGGCGGGCUUGUAAGGCAGAUGUGAAAUCCUGGAGGUUAAAUACAGAACUGCAUUUGAAACUAUGGGUCUAGAGUGUGGGAGAGGUAGGUGGAAUUCGUGGUGUAGGGGUAAAAUCCGUAGAUAUCAAGAGGAAUACUCAUUGCGAAGGCGAUCUACUGGAACAUGACUGACGCUCAUGCACGAAAGCGUGGGGAGCAAACAGGAUUAGAUACCCUUGUAGUC
rnacentral:rRNA from 1 species